rnacentral:tRNA from 1 species
AAGCAUAACACUGAAGAUGUUAAGAUGAGCCUUAGACAGCUCCGCAGGCA